GACGAACGCUGGCGGCGUGCCUAACACAUGCAAGUCGAACGGAAGUAUUUCUUCGGAGAUACUUUAGUGGCGAACGGGUGAGUAACGCGUGAGAAACCUGCCUUUCAGUGGGGGACAACAGUUGGAAACGACUGCUAAUACCGCAUAACACUUUAGAAUCGCAUGAUUCAGAAGUCAAAGCUUUAAGUGCUGAAAGAUGGUCUCGCGUCUGAUUAGCUAGUUGGUGAGGUAACGGCUCACCAAGGCGACGAUCAGUAGCCGGUCUGAGAGGAUGAACGGCCACAUUGGGACUGAGAUACGGCCCAG
rnacentral:rRNA from 1 species